rnacentral:rRNA from 1 species
CGACCUUGAAAUACCACCCUUUAAUGUUUGAUGUUCUAACGUGGACCCGUAAUCCGGGUUGCGGACAGUGUCUGGUGGGUAGUUUGACUGGGGCGGUCUCCUCCUAAAGAGUAACGGAGGAGCACGAAGGUUGGCUAAUCCUGGUCGGACAUCAGGAGGUUAGUGCAAUGGCAUAAGCCAGCUUGACUGCGAGCGUGACGGCGCGAGCAGGUGCGAAAGCAGGUCAUAGUGAUCCGGUGGUUCUGAAUGGAAGGGCCAUCGCUCAACGGAUAAAAGGUACUCCGGGGAUAACAGGCUGAUACCGCCCAAGAGUUCAUAUCGACGGCGGUGUUUGGCACCUCGAUGUCGGCUCAUCACAUCCUGGGGCUGAAGUAGGUCCCAAGGGUAUGGCUGUUCGCCAUUUAAAGUGGUACGCGAGCUGGGUUUAGAACGUCGUGAGACAGUUCGGUCCCUAUCUGCCGUGGGCGCUGGAGAACUGAGGGGGGCUGCUCCUAGUACGAGAGGACCGGAGUGGACGCAUCACUGGUGUUCGGGUUGUCAUGCCAAUGGCACUGCCCGGUAGCUAAAUGCGGAAGAGAUAAGUGCUGAAAGCAUCUAAGCACGAAACUUGCCCCGAG